rnacentral:rRNA from 1 species
UAGCGGAGGAAAGGAAACCAACAGGGAUUGCCUUAGUAACGGCGAGUGAAGCGGCAAAAGCUCAAAUUUGAAAUCUGGCAUCUUCGGUGUCCGAGUUGUAAUUUGAAGAAGGUAACUUUGGAGUUGGCUCUUGUCUAUGUUCCUUGGAACAGGACGUCACAGAGGGUGAGAAUCCCGUGCGAUGAGAUGCCCAAUUCUAUGUAAAGUGCUUUCGAAGAGUCGAGUUGUUUGGGAAUGCAGCUCUAAGUGGGUGGUAAAUUCCAUCUAAAGCUAAAUAUUGGCGAGAGACCGAUAGCGAACAAGUACAGUGAUGGAAAGAUGAAAAGAACUUUGAAAAGAGAGUGAAAAAGUACGUGAAAUUGUUGAAAGGGAAGGGUUUAAGAUCAGACUUGGUAUUUUGUAUGGCUUCCUUUCGGGGUGGUCCUCUACGUUUUACCGGGCUAGCAUCAGUUUGGAUGGUAGGAUAAUGGCAUUGGAAUGUGACAUUGCUUCCGGUGAUGUGUUAUAGCCCCUUUGUUGAUACCUGCCCCUAUUCUAGACUUGGAGGACCUGCGUCUUUGACUAGGAUGCUGGCAUAAUGAUCUUCAACCGCCCGUCUUGAACCCCGG